rnacentral:rRNA from 1 species
AUUGAACGCUGGCGGCAGGCCUAACACAUGCAAGUCGAACGAGUGGCGGACGGGUGAGUAAUGUCUGGGAAACUGCCUGAUGGAGGGGGAUAACUACUGGAAACGGUCGCUAAUACCGCAUACCAUCAUUUUUGCCCAGAGGGGAUGAGCGAGUUGGUGGGGUAACGGCUCACCAAGGCGACGAUCCCUCGCUGGUCUGAGAGGAGGACCGGCCACCCUGGAACGGAGACACGGUCCAGAUUCCGACGGGAGGCAGCAGUGGGGAAUAUUGCACAAUGGGCUCAAGCCUGAUGCAGCCAGGCCGCGUGUAUGAAGAAGGCCUUCGGGUUGUAAAGUACUUUCAGCGGGGAGGCGUUACCCGAAGAAGAAGCACCGGCUAACUCCGUGCCAGCAGCCGCGGUAAUUC